UUAGUGAUUUUUCAAACUCACGUCACUGCUGCUGUCUGAAUCUAUUUUAUGAUAAAUUUUACCUAUUUCAUGGUUUCCAUGGAUUAGCUAGCAAUUUAGCAUACAUAACACCAAAUAUGAUCAUGAUUAGCCAUUCCAAUGGCUAAUCAUUACCAAGCAUUUCCAUACCACUCAAUAACCAUAUCAUAAGACCAUAUACACAAAAUGAUUAUAAUGCUAUACAUGCCAUACUCAAAAUAUACAAGCCAUUAUGCCAAGAUGGUAUACGGAUAGUGUGAGCGUGC
rnacentral:lncRNA from 1 species